rnacentral:rRNA from 1 species
UAGGAACGACGAAUAAUACCCUAUGACAUAAACUCCUCGCAUGAGGAGCUUAUCAAAGAUUUAUCGGUGUAAGAUGGACUCGCGUCUGAUUAGCUAGUUGGUGAGGUAACGGCCCACCAAGGCGACGAUCAGUAGCCGGCUUGAGAGAGUGUACGGCCACAUUGGGACUGAGACACGGCCCAGACUCCUACGGGAGGCAGCAGUA